GAGACUCUGUGCGCGUGCAUAUCAAUAAGCGGAGAAAAGAAACUAACAAGGAUUCCCUUAGUAACGGCGAGUGAAGCGGGAAGAGCUCAAAUUUGAAAUCUCCAAGGUUCUACCUUGACGAAUUGUAGUUUAAAGAAGUGUUUUCUGUUAGAUGAGUAGCAAAAGUUCCUUGGAAUGGGACAUCAUAGAGGGUGAGAAUCCCGUAUUUGGUUAUUCAUUCUAGCUUUGUGAUAUCACUUUCAAAGAGUCGGAUUGUUUGGGAAUGCAGUCCAAAAUGGGUGGUAAAUUUCAUCUAAAGCUAAAUAUUGGCGAGAGACCGAUAGCGAACAAGUACCGUGAGGGAAAGAUGAAAAGAACUUUGAAAAGAGAGUUAAACAGUACGUGAAAUUGUCAAAAGGGAAGCGUUUGACACCAGUGUUGUUUUUCCGAAAAUCAAUUACGAAUGGCUUGAUUUUGUGUUGUAUUGACCUUAUCAGCUUUCUUCACUUUUUUCGAGUCUUUCUUAAUGCACUUUUCGGUUAACAAGUCAACAUCAAUUUCUUUUGUCGUAAAAGAGUAUUCGGAAGGUGGCUUUCUUUUCGGAGAAAGUGUUUAUAGCCCUAUACUUCUACAAUCGGAGAGAUUGAGGUCUGCAGCGUAGAUCCUUCGGGGUUAGAUACAUUGGUGCUAAGCUACAGCCUUGUCAUAGACAACUUGUUGACUAUGUUCAGUCAUUGUAGCUUACUCGCUGAUGCUAUUUUACCUACGCUUAGGAUGUUGACUGAUAUGUAGUCGUA
rnacentral:rRNA from 1 species